AUGAACGCUGGCGGCGUGCCUAAUACAUGCAAGUCGAGCGAACAGACGAGGAGCUUGCUCCUCUGACGUUAGCGGCGGACGGGUGAGUAACACGUGGAUAACCUACCUAUAAGACUGGGAUAACUUCGGGAAACCGGAGCUAAUACCGGAUAAUAUAUUGAACCGCAUGGUUCAAUAGUGGAAGACGGUUUUGCUGUCACUUAUAGAUGGAUCCGCGCCGCAUUAGCUAGUUGGUAAGGUAACGGCUUACCAAGGCAACGAUGCGUAGCCGACCUGAGAGGGUGAUCGGCCACACUGGAACUGAGACACGGUCCAGACUCCUACGGGAGGCAGCAGUAGGGAAUCUUCCGCAAUGGGCGAAAGCCUGACGGAGCAACGCCGCGUGAGUGAUGAAGGUCUUCGGAUCGUAAAACUCUGUUAUUAGGGAAGAACAAAUGUGUAAGUAACUAUGCACGUCUUGACGGUACCUAAUCAGAAAGCCGCGGCUAACUACGUG
rnacentral:rRNA from 1 species